UACGUAGGGUGCGAGCGUUAAUCGGAAUUACUGGGCGUAAAGCGUGCGCAGGCGGUUCUCCAAGUCCGUUGUGAAAGCCCCGGGCUCAACCUGGGAAUGGCAGUGGAAACUAGGGGACUUGAAUCUGGCAGAGGGGGGUGGAAUUCCUGGUGUAGCGGUGAAAUGCGCAGAUAUCAGGAAGAACACCCGUGGCGAAGGCGGCUCUCUGGGACGGUACUGACGCUGAGACGCGAAAGCGUGGGGAGCGAACAGG
rnacentral:rRNA from 1 species